AUUGAACGCUGGCGGCAGGCCUAACACAUGCAAGUCGAGCGGAUGAAGGGAGCUUGCUCCUGGAUUCAGCGGCGGACGGGUGAGUAAUGCCUAGGAAUCUGCCUGGUGGUGGGGGAUAACGUCCGGAAACGGGCGCUAAUACCGCAUACGUCCUGAGGGAGAAAGUGGGGGAUCUUCGGACCUCACGCUAUCAGAUGAGCCUAGGUCGGAUUAGCUAGUUGGUGGGGUAAAGGCCUACCAAGGCGACGAUCCGUAACUGGUCUGAGAGGAUGAUCAGUCACACUGGAACUGAGACACGGUCCAGACUCCUACGGGAGGCAGCAGUGGGGAAUAUUGGACAAUGGGCGAAAGCCUGAUCCAGCCAUGCCGCGUGUGUGAAGAAGGUCUUCGGAUUGUAAAGCACUUUAAGUUGGGAGAAAGGGCAGUAAGUUAAUACCUUGCUGUUUUGACGUUACCAACAGAAUAAGCACCGGCUAACUUCGUG
rnacentral:rRNA from 1 species